GUCGACGCUGCCCAGGCCAUUCGCAGAAGAAGCUGCAGUACGGUGAAACUUAUCGCGUGAAAACUGCUCGCUUAACGGAUGCCAUUUGUGUGCUGCGACCUACACGUGGAUUCUGUGCUGUUUACAGCCCGCGUUAAAAAGAACCAUGGGAGAGGAAAAGAGUGUGGAACUUCCCGUUGCUUCACAAUAAGAGCGACAGAUCGGCACGAACAGCAGGACUGCAGACCUGUGAGGGAAUCGCAGGCCAAGAUGGGGGGAGAAGGCACAGAGGGACGGAGGACGCCUCCCCAGCAACAUUUUUCAUGACCUCCCUCAAACUGAGGACAGACAAUUGAGAUAGCCAAGGGAGGGAGGAAUUUGUAAACGGCUAAAAUCAAGCAGAAGAAGGUGAUCCAGAACAUUCUCAUCAUGCAAAACAGGACCCAUCACACCACUAUGUGAAGACUCAUCCAUGGGGAUACUCCAGGCACGCAUGAAAGCAGGCGUCGCUCGUUCCGGCUGAUGCGAGGGAAAGGUUCAUUUUUUUAUAAAAAAAAAAAAAAGCCCGAUUGUCACUACACAUUUUAGUAAUGGCUGACAGAAAGGCAGACAAGAUGUCAUUGCGGCAGCGCAGCCAGGAGGACGCCAGCAGCCACGCCAGGGGCAUGGACGAAGGGAUGGAUAAGCAGAUGUUGUUCAUCACCCAAGGGUGAUGGGGGUUGCUCGUGCGGAGCUAGAAAAAGAUUGCCAAUGAGCGAACGUGCAGACGAGUACACGUGUUGGUGUGCGCGAGUUCACGCUACCGUGGUUGCGUCGGCGGGGACGGGCACACCCACAACCGAGCGGGAGCCCCCGCGAGCGGCGGCUUGCAAGGUGGGCCAAGACAACAAAGGUAACCUUGUCCAAAGAAGUCUGGACAGUCACGUUAGUGGAGGAGCACCUUGCGAUGUGCUGUGUCAUCACUUGUCUUUGCAGCUGAAAAUGCAAUAGUGCGAGAUCCAUUAGUACCCAAAUAGGUGGCUAUCCUCACAAGGGUCGCAGAAGUGCCAGAGUUUAUCCCAGCUAACAUGGGCCGAAAAGCUGACUACAACCUGAGCUGGGCACCAGUCAGUUGCAGGGCAAACGUCGACACCAUCACUGAGCAGGAAUCGGUCGUUCCCUAUUUUUGUAAUCUCGCUAAAUAUUCUUUCUCCUAUCAAACACAGAUUGUUGAAACCAUCGCUGUUGGUCGGUCGGGAUCAAUCAGGCUUUGGCUGGAAGUCGUACCCGUCAAAUGAUUUGGACGGGUAGUCUCCUGUAAUGAGCGUACCAAAACGGAUUUGUCGUCAUCUCAAGUGCAUCAAAGUGAAUUUCGAAAACAUCUUCACGUUUUCUAAAGCGCCACUUUGGAAAGACCUUUAUCAAAAGCAGCACAUCAAGAAAGUGAUUCAAACCCACGUUUACCGAACAUCAUGAGGCAGCUUCAAAACAAAAACAAACAAAAAAAAAUAAAAAUUGGCAGCCAACACCACUAAUUGGGCACUUUUGAUUUUAAAGAGCUUCAUUUAAGCUUCUCUCACAUUUCCCGGCUGACAGAUUUCCGCAUCCUGGUCAUCUUCAAACGGCAAGAGAUACAUAUAUUGAACUAUGAAGAAGUGGAAAAAAAAUGUAUCUUCACCAUCUGUGCUUAUCUUUCUAUCAAAUAUCCUGUGGCAGUUCUUGGCUGUAAAGUGCGUUCAGGGGGGGAAGGUUAUCAAAUUGUGGGUGCGAGGAAAUGUACGACACUGUCCAACUAGUCUUUGCAAAGAUCGCGGUCUGAUUUUCUCUCACUUUCUCAAAGCAGUACGGAUAUACCCAAAGAAUUAUUAAUGUGUCAGUCGCAAACGAUCUGGUUCUUUGAUCCGGUUCUUUGAAGUGAACUUACUUUCAAUCUGUUGGUUUUUCCUCAUCUUUUUUUAUUCUGUUGAAGCCACAUACAAUUAGUCAAGAUGGGGGGUUGUGUGUCCACACAAAGGCGAAGGCGGAUGGGGGAGGUUACACACUCCUCCAAACCGUGAGCAAACAAACAGGACCGAGGGAGAGGAAAGAGUGCCAGAGAGGAAUGUUUGAGAAUGAGCGAGUCCAAAGACGAUGGGGCUGUUUUUGUAUCGAUACGCUAAAAAUGUUGGGCAACCCAAGUCCCGAAACAACUAGGUUUGUCCACUGAUGGAAUCCAUCCAUCUAUUCACCCAUCCAUCCAUCUUCUUCCGCUUUUCCGGGUCCGGUCUCAAGCGCAGUAGUGGGUUUAUCAGGAAUACCCAGACUUCCCUUUUCCCCAGCCACUUCAUUCACCUCUUCAAGAGGGAUUCUCGAGGCGUUCCCGAUAAUAAGAAGUAUUUUCCAAAGGAAGUUGUUUUUUUAAUUUUUCUCAAAAGCAAGUUCGUUUUUUUUUUUUUUUUUUUUUUAUGAUUUUACAAGGGUCCAGGCUCCUGCAACCUUUGGAAACACUCUUUGGUUUUGUUUGAU